UACGAAGGGGGCUAGCGUUGUUCGGAAUUACUGGGCGUAAAGGGCGCGUAGGCGGUGUGUCAAGUCAGGCGUGAAAGCCCCGGGCUCAACCUGGGAACCGCGCUUGAGACUGGCACGCUAGAGUUCGGGAGAGGAUGGUGGAAUUCCCAGUGUAGAGGCGAAAUUCGUAGAUAUUGGGAAGAACACCGAUGGCGAAGGCAGCCAUCUGGACCGACACUGACGCUGAGGCGCGGAAAGCGUGGGGAGCAAACAGG
rnacentral:rRNA from 1 species